UACGAAGGGUGCUAGCGUUAUUCGGAAUCAUUGGGCGUAAAGGGUGUGUAGACGGUAUGUUAAGUUUGCUGUUAAAUCUUCCGGCCUAACCGGAAAUCAGCGGUGAAUACUGGCGGUACUAGAGGGUGGAAGAGAGAAGUGGAAUUCUCGGAGUAGCGGUAAAAUGCGUAGAUCUCGAGAGGAACACCAAUGGCGAAGGCAGCUUCUUGGUCCAUACCUGACGUUGAGACACGAAAGCGUGGGGAGCAAACAGG
rnacentral:rRNA from 1 species